rnacentral:rRNA from 1 species
UACAGAGGUCUCAAGCGUUGUUCGGAUUCAUUGGGCGUAAAGGGUGUGUAGGUGGCGCGCUAAGUCGGGUGUGAAAUUUCGGAGCUUAACUCCGAAACUGCAUUCGAUACUGCGUGACUCGAGGACUGUAGAGGAGAUCGGAAUUCACGGUGUAGCAGUGAAAUGCGUAGAUAUCGUGGAGGAAGACCCUGCGGCGAAGGCGGGGUUGCUGGGCCGACACUGACGCUGAUGCGCGAAAGCCCAGGGGGAGCGAACGGG